UACGGGGGGAGCAAGCGUUGUUCGGAUUUACUGGGCGUAAAGGGCGCGUAGGCGGUCAGCACAAGUCAGUUGUGAAAUCUCCGGGCUUAACUCGGAACGGUCAACUGAUACUGUGCGACUAGAGUGCAGAAGGGGCAACUGGAAUUCUCGGUGUAGCGGUGAAAUGCGUAGAGAUCGGGCGGAACACCAGCGGCGAAGGCGGCAUCCUGGCCCUAUCCUGACGCUGAGGCGCGAGAGCGUGGGGAGCAAACCGG
rnacentral:rRNA from 1 species